AAAAAAGACCUCAGAAUGCAUUCAGUAAAUUAGCAAGCAUACCAAGGGGGAGGGAACAUUCUGACCUAUACCAGCAUAUUGUUUUUCAUUCAAAUAGCUCUUAGUUCACUGGAGGCUUUACAUGAAUGUUUAUUACAAUAUUUAUUUUUCUUGAUUAAGAUGAUAGCAGGCGACUAAGGAGUUCCAUAACACAAAGUAGAAGUCUCCACCUUCCGUAUAAACAGGAAUAUCCAGACACUAACAACUCUGAAACUUAAAUCAGAAAAGCGAUUGCAUGAAACUGUGGGCAAUGACAGUCUUUUGUAAAUGUGUCUGAUGUAAGGUUAGCACAGUCACAGCUCUAAACUAUUAUGUAAGUCUUAGUCCAUCAUACAGCUGCACACACGCCUUUGAACUAAGUAUAAGUAACAUUUGCUGUGAACAGUACACAUUUCCCAGAAUUCUCAAAAUCUUUUCUGUGUCCUUUAGUUCAAUUACUAUUAUGAAAAUAUCAUACAGUACAGACUAGCAAUAUUGAUGGCAAAAUUAUUAGUAAUAAAGGGAGUUUUGCAUUAUGGAUCCUUGAAUGAGCUCAAAUAGAAAUAAAUCAGAGGAGUAUUUUGUUGAUAAAUGAUUCUGUUCUGCACAUUCAUGGGAGAAACGCCAAGCAGCACAGCUAGAAGAAGCAGGCUAACAGGAGAUCUAGGCAGAGAUUACCAUUGCUGGUGACCAUAGAGGAGACAGAGUUCAGAAUUUGAGUCUAAUAGAACAACGCUCACCAGUUUCCAGAAUACCACGGAGCAUCCACGUUUGGCAAAAGUAUCAUUCAAAAUUUGAAGGCAUAACAAAGACAUUUUCAGACACAGGCUGAGAGAAUACAUCACCAGCAGACUUGAAGGAAUAUGAUAUCGUGUGGAAAUUUGGAUCUUCACAAAUUUGGAUCCUUCACAAAGGAUAAAGAGUGCCAGAAAAGAAGAGGAAGACACCACCAGAUGACCCAGACUGAUCUUAUCUCGAGAUAAUUUCCUUCGAAGAGAAAUCAGGAAGGAAUUUGUUAUGCAGAAUUUAGGAUUUGGCCAGAUCUGGAAGCAUCUAAAGCCUGCUGAGGAAUGACAGUUUUCAAAUGCCCGGUAUACAAAAUAACUAAAAUUUUCUGUUAGCUUGUU